GAUGAACGCUGGCGGCGUGCCUAAUACAUGCAAGUCGAGCGAACGGACGAGAAGCUUGCUUCUCUGAUGUUAGCGGCGGACGGGUGAGUAACACGUGGAUAACCUACCUAUAAGACUGGGAUAACUUCGGGAAACCGGAGCUAAUACCGGAUAAUAUUUUGAACCGCAUGGUUCAAAAGUGAAAGACGGUCUUGCUGUCACUUAUAGAUGGAUCCGCGCUGCAUUAGCUAGUUGGUAAGGUAACGGCUUACCAAGGCAACGAUGCAUAGCCGACCUGAGAGGGUGAUCGGCCACACUGGAAGUGAGACACGGUCCAGACUCCUACGGGAGGCAGCAGUAGGGAAUCGUCCGCAAUGGGCGAAAGCCUGACGGAGCAACGCCGCGUGAGUGAUGAAGGUCUUCGGAUCGUAAAACUCUGUUAUUAGGGAAGAACAUAUGUGUAAGUAACUGUGCACAUCUUGACGGUACCUAAUCAGAAAGCCACGGCUAACUACGUG
rnacentral:rRNA from 1 species